UACAGGGGGGCAAGCGUUGUUCGGAAUUACUGGGCGUAAAGGGUCGUAGGUGGCCACUUAAGUCAGACGUGAAAUCCCUCAGCUUAACUGGGGAACUGCGUCUGAUACUGAGUGGCUUGAGUGCAGGAGAGGAAUGCGGAAUUCCAGGUGUAGCGGUGAAAAUGCGUAGAUAUCUGGAGGAACACCGGUGGCGAAGGCGGCAUUCUGGACUGUAACUGACACUGAGGAACGAAAGCCAGGGGAGCAAACGGG
rnacentral:rRNA from 1 species